GGGCCCGUAGCUCAGCCCGGUAGAGCGCCCGGCUGAUAACCGGGCGGUCGGGGGUUCGAAUCCCCCCGGGCCCACCA
rnacentral:tRNA from 1 species